rnacentral:tRNA from 1 species
GCCGACGUGGCGGAACUGGCAGACGCGCUAGACUCAAAAUCUGGUGCCCGAAAGGGCAUGGGGGUUCGAUUCCCUCCGUCGGCACCA